GGGUCUGUCGCCUAAUGGUAUGGCACUCGACUUUUAAUCGAGUUAAUGCUGGUCCGAAUCCAGUCAGACCCA
rnacentral:tRNA from 5 species